rnacentral:rRNA from 1 species
UCCCCCGCUCAUACCACCCUGAACACACCCAAUCCUGUUUGAUUUCAGGAAGCAAGCAGGGUCAAGCCUGGUUAGAACAUUGAGGAGAGACCAGCAGGGCAUACCCUUCAUGUGCAGGCA